rnacentral:lncRNA from 13 species
AUAGUCGCGCAGAUAGAGAAUGUCCCCACCACUGUGGAGGUUCCUGUGGGCGAGCACUAUGGCUGUAUAGUCGCGCAGAUAGAGAAUGUCCCCACCACUGUGGAGGUUCCUGUGGGCGAGCACUAUGGCUGUAUAGUCGCGCAGAUAGAGGAUGUCCCCACCAUUGCGGAGGUUCCUGUGGGCGAGCACUAUGGCUGUAUAUUCACAAUAAGCCCUUCCUGCCUGUCAAAAGUAAAAAGCUCCUCUUCAAAGUUUCCCUUCCUGUUAAAGAAUGAGAAUACUAAAUGUUAGAAAUAAUAGUUUCUUUCAAAGACUAACUCUCUUCAAAGUCUUCUGGCAUUCUAUUUGGAAAACUCGCCGAGCCUAGGGUCACAAGAUAUGGGGGCUACCUACUCCGCACUUCCUUCCUAUUCUGGCCAUCUCACUCCUUCCCAGGUCUCGGUCAUGGGAAUCGACGGGACCCCGAGUAUCCCCUACUAAACCCCACCACUCAUGUGCUCAUAUAACUCUACUCCAUUUACCCACUCUUUUUAGUAAUCCCCACCUGCCCAGUUCCCCUUCUGGGGCGAGACAUCAUUUCAAAGCUGAAGGCUGUCAUAACCUUCCCCACCGCCAGCCCACACAGCCUUUUUCUCCUAGCCCUCAAUACUCUGCCUCGGAACUCCAGGCCCUCCAGUCUACCCCCGGGGUACGGUUCAAAGAUGACUGGGCCUUCAAGCAUAACCUCCUCAUCCUCCCUGAAAAGCAAAGGUCCUUCUUAGGACAGACUCCCUUCGUUGCAGUCCCCUACCCCAUCCCUCUCAACCUUUCAGCCUCAACUUCUUCCUUCUCCCCCGUCAGGGAAGUCGAUCUCUACACUCCACCUGAUUUUGAACAGCUACCUGUGUGCUAUUCCCUAGGCCAAAACUUCCCUAGCUGUAACAGAGCUAUACGGGUAACCACUAAUAUAACAGCCCCACGAGGAACGUUUUUCGGGUGUAACAAGACCUUAACAAAAACUCUCUACAUUGGCCUUUCCUCAUCUCUUUUAUGCCUCCCGGUAACCCUAGUCCCUCGACUCACUAUAUAUUCCCCAGCCGAAUUCCAGAUGCUGCAAACUCCCCAU